UACGGAGGGUGCAAGCGUUAAUCGGAAUUACUGGGCGUAAAGCGCGCGUAGGUGGUUUGAUAAGCGAGAUGUGAAAGCCCCGGGCUUAACCUGGGAACGGCAUUUCGAACUGUCAGGCUAGAGUAUGGUAGAGGAGUGUGGAAUUUCCUGUGUAGCGGUGAAAUGCGUAGAUAUAGGAAGGAACACCAGUGGCGAAAGGCGACAUCUGAGCCAAUACUGACACUGAGGUGCGAAAGCGUGGGGAGCAAACAGGAUUAGAUACCCCGUAGUCC
rnacentral:rRNA from 1 species